rnacentral:misc_RNA from 1 species
GCCAACCGCCGUUCAAUCGACUUUAUUGAAGGCCGUGCAGGGACCGGCAAGACCACAACCCUGCAGCCACUGUGCCGCGCACUUGAGAAGAAUUUCCGAAUUAUCGCAACGGGAGUAAGUUGGCGGACGGCGCGCAUGCUUGAAGAUGAACUGUCCGGUCCUGACCCGCGUUCGCAUGUUGAGGCCAGGGCUCUCGAUUCCUGGCUGGCGUUAGGCAAAGCCGGCGGCCACUUCUGCGAUGGACGCACGCUUCUCUUGGUGGAUGAAAGCUCGCAGAUUGGCGUUCGCGCCAUGCACAACCUGCUGAC